rnacentral:rRNA from 1 species
CCUACGGGUGACAGCAGUGGGGAAUAUUGGGCAAUGGGCGCAAGCCUGACCCAGCAACGCCGCGUGAAGGAAGACGGCUUUCGGGUUUUAAACUUCUUUUGACAGGGAAGAGUAUAAGACGAUGCCUGUCGAAUAAGCCACGUCUAAAUACGUGCCAGCAGCCGCGGUCAUACGUAGGUGGCAAGCGUUGUCCGGAUUUACUGGGUGUAAAGGGCGUGUAGCCGGGUUGACAAGGCAGAUGUGAAAUCCUGCGGCUUAACCGCAGAACUGCAUUUGAAACUGUUGAUCUUGAGUACUGGAGAGGCAGACGGAAUUCGUAGUGUAGCGGUGAAAUGCGUAGAUAUUAGGAGGAACACCAGUGGCGAAGGCGGUCGGCUGGACAGCAACUGACGGUGAGGCGCGAAAGCGUGGGGAGCAAACAGGAUUAGAUACCCCAGUAGUC